rfam:Prevotella sp. S7 MS 2 contig015, whole genome shotgun sequence.
CGGGAUUUAGCGCAGUUGGUAGCGCACACGUCUGGGGGGCGCGAGGUCGCUGGUUCGAGUCCAGUAAUCCCGA